UUAAAGGGAAUGUUCAUCUGGAGACUGAAAAUCCACAGGGUUCUCUAUAGAGACUAUGUGCUUUCUUUUCUUCCUGCCCACACAGACUCAAGCAAACAAAAAGGAAAACAAAAUCCAUUAGGAGCCAUGUUGAGCAGUUUCAUUUAAAGUGUGCCUGUUAUUACACAGUGCAUAAAGUCAAAUGUCCCCACACCGAACCAGCCAGCACGGCUCCAAUUCAUAUAUGAGCUUGUCCGUGUUUCUAUCGAAGCAGGCCGGCCACAUGUGGCACAGCACAGGACAUUUUUAAAUUGAGAUACGAGGUGCUCGAUUCCUUUCUUUGGAGCUGUUUUAGUCUAACGAAUUUACUGCACGUCUCGGAAAACACACAGCUUUGCCAAAGUUGAGUUUCAAGCACUUGAUUUUUUUGGAAAAAUCUCAGUCUCUACGGACAUGAGGAAUGGUGAUUGCUGCUGCUAUCCAUUUGAAAAGAGAUCGUCAAUUCUCAUUUUUAUGGAGAAGGUAAUUAAAACAUUCAGGGAAGUCUCAAGUGAUUAUGGUGAAGAAUUCUCACCCGGACCUUCUUUCUAACAGAGCUAGCCGCCCAUGCCUGUGCUAUUAGCAGGACAGGAUGCUCCAUGGCUGGGUGGGUUUCCUCCUGCCCACAGUGAAGCAGAUCCCACGCAGAAUAGGUACAAAGUAGAGUCAAAUUGCGUGGCAGGUGGACAGAGUGUGCAGGGAAGUCUCAUCAAAGUUGGAAGAGACUGAUGGUGCCCUGCAGGACAGCAAACCACACCUUAGCACUAAUGAACUGAUUUAACUUAAAACAAUCAUGAGGGGAACAAUGUGGGUGCAGUGGAGAGCAGGGGAGGGGAGAGGAAGGGAGAGAGAUCAUCACUUUAGUGAAGACAUUUAUCCCCACCUCCUGCGCGUCCUCAGGCUGCUGCUGCUCCCUUGAGCACUUUGUUUUCCUGGCACAUCAGGCUAGAACUGGCCAAGCAGAGGCUCACUGGUGAAGAUCCUUGCUGGAAGACGCCCAAGACAAACGCAAGCGAUACAAAAGGCCUCUAAAACCUCUCUCCACCUGCAAUGAUCUUAGAAGAAUGAGCAGAAGUCCUGAGAACACCUAUGUCACUGAACACCAAGAACAGAACAGGCUGUCGCCUUAGUGGUGUGCGGUCUGAGCACCCUACCCUGCUCCGUCAGAGUACACAAUCACAGCGGAAAUAUGCCCAAACGUGUCAAGAUCUGGAGGGCGGCCACUCGUCGCUCCUCUGAAAACUACCACCAGUGUUGGUUGACCUCCAUUACUGAACUGGCACAGAUUAGCUGAAGUAAUACUUCAACUGUUUUUUAGUGCCCAACUAUAUGUUCUGUUAUAAGGAAUAGCAAAUGUUUAAUCAUAAAUAUUUUAAUGGCUUCAGGGAUUCAUGGUAUUCAAUGACCGUGUUAAAUGAUAAUAAUCACAUCUGGUUUAUUACUAUAGUAAUUCAGCAGAUUCUCUUCAGCAGUUAUUUUUUAUUAUAUGUGCUGUGCUACUGUCAUGGUCAUUUAUAGCAGUAAUAUUUUAAAGUGGCUCAUUUGUUUGUUUAAGGACAGUUUCACAAUAUAUUUCUGUAUUAAUAUACAUUUUGCACUAUUAUUUCCAAGCUGCCCGCUGGAAAAUUGAUCCCAGCCUGUUCGGACUGGAGAGGCCGACAACCCACGAAACGUCCAGGCAGAGAUGGAGUGGGGGGAUGAGACGGGACUGUCCCCGUGCCCACUGGGGUGGUGAUAACUGCUGCUUAGCGGUAUUCAUAAAUGAAGAAAUGUCUUAAGAAUUAGGAAAUAGUAGCUGUAAAGGGAAGACCACGGAUUUGGGGGAUUCCCAGGGGCAAAGAUGUCUGGGAAGAGCCUUACGAUGCAUCACUGGCAAGGCCAAGGUGGUCAGGACUUGGCAGCCUCUGUGUAGUGAGUGAUAGAGUGGGGUGAAAGUGAGGCAAGGGCAAGUCAAGGUCAUGUGGCUCAGCCACUGAGGUUUGCUUUAAAUCCAGUCUACGUGGGCAUGAGAGUUAGUGGCUGCUGCUGUGUGCACCUUUGCGGUCGUCCGAUUGGAUGGCUCCCACAGGAGGGUGUCACAGGUACCAUGACCAUGACCAGUGCCUGCUACACCUCCGCCCUUCUUGGUGUAUCAAUUCAUCCACUGUUCCUUAGGAGAGUAAGGCAAGCAAGGGACCUUCCUAACCCGGGGGAGGCCAUUUUUGUUGGCAUUCCGAUAAAUCAGGCUGUGGAAAGUCCGGAGAAAGCUGGCCAACUUCAGUCUUGCUUCCUCUUGCCUGGAUGCUGAUUGGCUGGGAGACGGAGGGCAAAUGGCUUUUACGGCUAUGACGGAUGUAUGACUAUAAAAUGGUCCGUAACCAGAAGUACCAACUGACAUGCCUGCUGAUUUAACGGACACCCAGGGUUAUGUUUGUAGAGUCGCUUAAGUAAACACGUGCUAGGUUUGAGGGUGUUUGCUGAGUGAUCAUUUCUCUUGCUCUUCCUUCCCAUUUUAUUUUACUUCAUCAUAAAAUUGAGGAUAGUAAAGCCACGCUUCCCGUUUCUAUAAUAAUGAAGAUUGACUCAUGGCAGUGGCAGGUCCUCUUCAUUUCCUGCUUUCUACCUCCAAGGUAGCUGGGACAGGCGCAGAAGCCCUGAACGCAGGUAAGGUUGGAAGCCACAGCCCCUGGACAGCUUCCCCCUGGAGUCUUGGAGAUGGGCUUUCAAGUUUGCUUCUCCAUUCGGAGAACUAGAAGAGAAGCUGGGCUCACCGCCAGAUCAACAGAAUGGGGAGAUUUCUGCUUAACUACAAGUCAACAAAAGUGUCAGGGACAGAGAUGUUGACCUUCCCAGCAUGGACUUCAAUCAGACCAGGGCAUGCCCCUUGACAUCACUGGGCCUUGCAGCCUGGGGUUUCUCUAACUCAGUGGCUAUCAUGGCAGUGAGCAGGUCAGGUUUGGUCUGGGACCUGGGUUUUGUACUGUAACUGAAUGGUCUUUAGAGGACUAUACAUUUUACUGAGUUUGGAAAUUGUCUCAAACAAAUCGUUGAGAAGUGUGGAAGGCAUCAUACAGCGGUUCCUGGCUCUAUUUGUGGGAACUGGCUCAUUAGACCCAUUUGAUUUCAUGUUUCACGUCGGGUUAAGAACAGCAAACUGGCUUCCCCUGUUCACCCACUAGACGUCAGCUGACCUCAUCAGCUCCCUCUGGGCUCCAGCAGACAUCGCCCACUCAGGCAAGCUGGCACCCAAGACAAAACCUACUUGCAGCUCCUAUUCUAGAGCCUCCGGCUUUUCACUCCCCAAGGGGAAAAUAAUUUCCAGAACUUUCCAUGCUUAUCUGCUGCUUGAAGCAUUUUUCAUUUCUUUUUUUAAAAAUGUAGAUGAUGGGGCUUUAAAGAGAACAAGAGAGAACAUGGAGUUGGGUGGGCAUGCAGGGACGUGGGGUAGAUCUAAGUGGAGUAGGGUAAUGAUUAAAAUAAUUUGUAUGGAAUUCUCAGAGAACUAAUAUGUUUUUAAAACUAGUGGAAUUACUUGUUUUGUGAGUAUCAUGAUUCAGUGGCAAAUCUUGAGUCAACUUUCCUCUGUGGAAAUGCCCCCACUCAAGUUUUCGUUUCUUCCUGGAUCCAUUUCCAGUAUUCACUCAGACUGCAAGAGGCUGUCCUGUUUUAUUCAUUUGAAGAAGCAAUUUUUUGCAUGUAUUUAUUCUUUCUACUCAAUUUGUUUUUCACUAUGCCAUUUAUUUUAGCCUUGGCCUGUAUUAAUCAAUUUCUCUUUAGUGUUUCAUUUAUGUUAAUUUUUACUCAUUUUUUCGAAUUUCUUGAGAUUAAUACAUGCAUUUUCUUUUUCCUAGUUCUUUUUAAUAAUGGAAGAAGCCAAGAUUGUGUGUAUGGGCCAAAUCAGAACUACAAAUGGUUAUUGUACAAGUUGGGAGCUAAAAAUGGUUCUUAUGUUUUUAAAAAAAAAAGUAUAAACAAAACAGAAAAUAAUCUGUGGAAGAGUCCAUGAGUCACCCAAGCUCUUACCUUCUGCAGAAAAAGCCGAUGCUGACCCUUACUCCAGCAUCUUAGGCUCUUGCUUCUACUUAACGCAGCCCUUACUCGGUCCCACCUGCUCAUAUGACUUACCCUUCCCCUUGGUUUCUAGACACAUAAUUUGCCUUUUAAUUUGAUUUUAAUCAAAGGAUUAUUCCAGCAUGUUUCAUGUUAUCUACCUGGCCCUUCUUUUGACCGUAGUUCAUAUGAAGACAUAGUGAUAGAAUGUGAAUGAUCGUCUUUCUACCCACUAACUAGUCCUACCUGCUCCCAUAGGCAUUUCACCCACUAACUAGUCCUACCUGCUCCCAUAGGCAUUUCACCCACUAACUAGUCCUACCUACUCCCAUAGGCAUUUCACCCACUAACUAGUCCUACCUGCUCCCAUAGGCAUUUUGGGAGCUCAGUAACUUUUUUUUAAUGCAGUUUUUUUUUUUUUGGUAUCUUUUCUAAAUCCACAUCCCUUCUUGAUCUAAACUUUUUUGAUAAAAUCCUCUUGUUCUUUAUAAUAACUGACUUUGGGGCUAAAUUAAGCAUUGGGAUUCAUAUAAAUAAAAAAUGGGACAAUAUGUUGCUGUCUUUUUAAAGUGUACACUGUAAGACAUGGCUCCAGCCCCAAAGUCAACUGUCACCACCCCAUAGGAAAUUGCUCUGUCUUAAUAAAUUACAAUAAGACUAGGCACACACUUUCAUAUCAAGGCUGGAUGAGGCAACCCAAGGGAAAUGGAGGAGGAGUGGAUCUGGGGAAGAGGGAGGUGGGGGUGACUGGGAGGGCUGGAGGGAGGGGAAACUGCAGUCGGGAUGUAACGUAUGAGAGAAGAAUGAACUUAAAAAAGAAAAAAGAAAAAGAAAAUUGUUCUGUCUCCAUUGCAUUUCCAGCUUGGUGGGACUCCACAGACCCCUUUUACUGAGGCGUCUUCUCUGCAGGAGAGAGCUCCUUAUUAGGAUGUGAGCAUGCAUACAACUGUACGUGAACCUGGAAACUAAUAAACCUAUAGUGUUGUGGGAUAAUCUUUUUGUCCACUGUGAAGAUGUGUCUCUGCCAAGGCACCUUCUGAUUGGUCUAAUAAAGAGCUGAAUGGCCAAUAACUAGGCAGGAGAUGAUAGGCGGGACCUCUGGGAAGAGAUGGAACUCUGGGAAGAAGAGAGGCAGAGAAUUUGCCAGUGAGACAGUAUGGAGGAGAGGUAAGGAGCCACAUGGCAGAAUGUAGAUUAAUAUAAAUGGAUUAAUUUAAGUUAUAAGAGGUAGUUGGGAACAAGCCUAAGGUAAGGUCAAGCUUUCAUAAUUAAUAAGAAGUCUCCACGUCAUUUUUGGGGAGCUGGCGGUCCAAACAAAUUCCAGCUAUACUGCAGCUUGGUUAAACUAAAGAGACUCAAGAAUAUAGACACAAAAGAAGAACUGGCAGUUAUAUCCAUGGCAAAUGUAGAGUGGGCCGUCAUAACACUCAGUGAACCUGGUAGAUAUAUUACCUCAUUAUCUGCUCUUCAAAGAAAGAACCAUUCAGUCCCUAGGAGCCAUCUAGAAUGUCAAGUCCAUGUAAAAACCACAACCUGGAGCUUAAAAGACCUUCUGUUCUCCCAGGCUGAAGGUAACUUCUUCCUGCAAAUUCACUCCUCUCAACUCUGGCCUCAGUUCUCCAUUCAUGUCAAGAGAAGCGUCCUUUUCUCCACGACCAAGAGUUGGCUGCAUCUGAGGGCAUUGUUCCAUGGCAGUAAGUCUCAGAGAGGCUAAACUAGAAAUAAUCUGCUGAGCUAUUCACUUACUGUGAAAAAUGGAACUAAUGUGUGCAUAAAACAGUCAUGUGUCAAUAAAGUCGAUAUGCUAACCUAA